UAAACGCUGGAGUUUGAGGCCAAACACGGGAGGAAAACGGGCCCAAAACUCUUCAACCGAGAGGAGCAGCGAACAUUUGCGAAAAGGUCAGCUGCAGCUCCUUCCAGGUGCCCUGCCCCCCACCCCCCCACCCCCCACACCCCGGGGGCUUCUCCCGAGUGUCGCAGCUGACUGCAAUUGCCCAAUUACCACCCUUACUUAAGCCACUGUUUUCCAGCCCUCAGUGUGGCGUUGUUUUUUUCUGUAUUGCUAAAUGGAGCCAGUGUGCCUUCGUGUUUGUGACUUCUGUUUUGUUUUUCCCACAGUGUGUGGUGAUUUUUGGUUAUUAAAGACCCUGAACCAGAAUCAAGGCUGGUUAUUCCUGCAAAUGGGUUACUGACUGAACCUCACCGUGACAUUCCCGCGUUUAUUUAUUUAUUUUUAAAUCGUUCCCAGCUCCUGCAUAUGUUGGUGUACAAUACAACAGAAUUAAUCACUUCAAUUACACUGUAUGUUCCACAGAAGUCUGUUAUUACCUAAUAACUGUUAUUUACCAAAUAUCUAAAGCAAUGACAGAACUGUAACAUUUUUAAAGAAUAUGUGACUAAGUGCCUCGAGGACUAAGCAUGAGAAAUAAUAAACUGAACUUUUCUCAAGAAGUCUGGAUUAUCUCAUGUUGCAAACGGCCUCAGUGAAGGUUUGUCACAUGACAGUAUAUCUUUCAUUUUUACCAGUGGUGAAUCAGAAAACGGGGGUCUGAGGCACUCAGGAGAAAGAUAAUGAUUGGAAAGCCUUUAUUUAUCCAUGGCUAGUCAAAUCAAAUCACGUCAACAAGUUUCAACCAACCUGGCAUCGGUCAGGUUGCAGGUCUGUUGUCCUGACCAAGGGCAGGCUAGUUUGAAAUGAGUUGACUUGAUUUUCUUUGACUAGCCAUGGAUAAGUAGAAGCUUUUUAAUCAUCAUCAUUCUCCUGAGUGCCUCAAACCCCUGUUGUCUGAAGCUGUAUGUGGAUCCCGCCUCUGAAGAGCACUGGAGGUAUUUCUUUUUCACACCCAUCAAGUACUUCAUGCAUUUUUGCUGUUUGUCAGCCUCACGGAAUGUUGGCCAUUUAUCCACCACUUUACCGUUUUAUUACAGGAUAAAACUAGCGACUGACUUCAUUAGUAUCACUUCUAAAAAUAAACUCAAAUGAUGCAUACCUGCUUCCUUUUUCAUGUUUGAUGUAUGACUGGAAGACAAUAAAACCUGCGUACUUCUCUUUUGUGAGAGGUGACAGUUCCUAUGAACUGUGAAAGCUGUAAAGCAAGCCCUCAUUUACCUACGGC
rnacentral:lncRNA from 1 species